ensembl:miRNA
AUUAGGUUGGUGCAAAAGUAAUUGCGGUUUUUGACAUUGAAAGUUAUGGCAAAAACCACAAUUACUUUUGCACCAACAUAAUA